CAAACCAAGAGCAAAGAAGAACAAAGGGAGAAAAGAAAAACAAAAACCUUAGGUGGAGAAAUUCAAGGAAAAAUUGGUGAAAAUUCAAGGAAACAAGUGACUAAAGGUAAAAUUUCUUGAUUUUAACUUGUGAUCUACCUUUCCCAUGCAUUUCUCCUCAUUUUCUAUGGUUAAAUUACAUAUUUUCAUGAUGAAUUCAUGGCUGGUUGGAAUAGGUAUGGAGAGAGAAUGAUAUUAGAUUGAUUUGAUUCUAAGUCAUGUUAGUGUUUUUAGUUAGUUAAGCAUGUUUAGAAACAAAACAACAAGAAAAGAAUCCAUUUUCCCAUGAACCUUCAAUGGUCGAACCCUAUGUGAAGUGUAGAAGUAAUGAAUUGAUUUUGUGAUCAAGUGAAUUGGUUGAAAAAUUGAUAAAAUGAUUAUUUAUGGUGAGAAAAUGAAAUGGGAAAAUUUUUAGUGAUAGUGCACCACAAUGGUCAAAAUUUUCAAGAAGAAUUGUAAGGGUUGUUAGGCUGAAUUUUAGAUUAUUGGAAUUGUAUUUAGUGAAUUGAAAUAUUAGAAAUGAAAUGGAGCAAUUUAGAGCCAAAUCAUACACAAUUGUCAUUUAAUCGAGUAAUAAGCUGAAUCAGGUCAGCACCACAUUUAAGCGGUAGUUGGAUAAGUUGCAUAUCAUAUCAUGCAUAUACACCGAGCCUGAAUUGAUUUUAUAAUGGUCAAGCAUUGAUGUGGUGAAUUAUAUAUUGUACAUUGUGGAUAAGUGGUGAGUAAAUUACACUGGUAAAAGUACAGAGAUUGUGCUUGGAGACUGGGAUUAAGAGUACAUCGACUCCUAGAACUAUGAGUAAACUUAUUAUCGUCUUAAUUAUCUAGAGUAGUUUUAUACAAUUGUGUGAUUUUAUGAAAAAUGGGUUUAAAUGGUAAAUUGCUAUGUUUUAGGAAAAAUUGUGAUUUUAUAAUAUGAUUUUAUAAAUUUUCUAGAAAAUUGAAUACUGGUUUUGAAAAUAGAGUAAUUAGAGACUGCCUGCUUGUGUUGUAAAUUUAUGGUUUUAAAUUGAAUGGCUUAUGACAAUAUAUGAGCAUGAAUGGCUAAACUGAUUUUUGGUGUUAGAAUUAUUUGUAUUGCGUAUUCAGCCUUGAGAGGCUAGGUUGCGAUAAAUUGCCAUGUCAUGAAAAAAAAGAUUUUAUAAAUCGGGUGGUAGAUAAAAUAAUCCAUAGUCACUGCCGUGGUGGGGGUUUCCGUGGACUGUCUAUGAGAGGGGCAUGGUAACCCAAUUAUAUAUUUACCUCCAAGGGGAGAUGUUGGAUAAAGUAUCUCUUGAGGUAAAUAUUUGAGUGCACUUCACGUGGACCACCGCGUGAAAGUGAGACUCAGCCAACGCCAAGGCAUGGCUAAAAUUUCAGAUGUAAAGACAUUUAACAGCCUUGACGGACUCGGUUGGGAUAACCCUCGAUCAAGGUAUCUUGAUAACUGAGUAUGAGAAUGAUUUUUGGCACGAGCCAAGUUUUUCAGAAAUCAUAAGCCUAUUUGUUUAUUUGGUUGAAAUGAGUUGAAAGGUAAUGAAAUUACAGUAUGAUGACUUAUUUUAAUUUGUCUCCAUUUAUUCAUCUUUAGAUAGUUUAGAUGGUGUCUGUUUACUCACUGGGAUUUUAUAAUCUCACCAUCCUCAUAUCCUCACAUUUCAGGCUCGGGGAAUUCCAUAGUUAGCGGACUUUGACAAGGACCUUCAUUUGGACUUGAAUCGGUAAAAGCUGUAAGUUUUCAGCUUCCGAUACAUUUUGGUUAGAUGUGGGCCCACGUGUCGCUGUAAAAGUAAUUUUAUACUUUGGUUAUUUGCUUUAUAGAAUAUAUGAAUAUAAUGAACUUUUACGUUAUAAGAAUUAUUUACCGAUAGCUUUAUAAAAAAUUAUUUUACAAGAAAAUAGUUAUUUUAUUGAAUAUUUUUAUUAUAUUCAAAUGGUCAAAUUUUCACUUCAAAUGAACGUUUUAGAUACUUAAUUUAUUUUUAAAUCACUAAAUAUAUAUUUUUUGCUUACCUACUAUAUUUUUAGCAAGUUUCGAGAUUUUCGACAAAAAAUGACGAAAUUGCCCCUGUGAGCCAGAAAACAAUAUGUUAUGUUCUAAUUUGGAAAUGACUCGUAAUCCUUCGAAUUACGAUAUUUGAUAACUAUUGCUCACCGUGGAAGUGCGAAAGCUGAUAC
rnacentral:lncRNA from 1 species